GAUGAACGCUAGCUACAGGCUUAACACAUGCAAGUCGAGGGGAAACGGCAUUUUAGCUUGCUAAGAUGGACGUCGACCGGCGAAUGGGUGAGUAACGCGUAUCCAACCUUCCGUUAAGUAGGGAAUAGCCUUGCGAAAGUAAGAUUAAUGCCCUAUGUGGUGUUUUGAGGACAUCUGAAGAGCACCAAAGGUUUACCGCUUAACGAUGGGGAUGCGUCUGAUUAGGUUGUUGGCGGGGCAACGGCCCACCAAGCCUACGAUCAGUAGGGGUUCUGAGAGGAAGGUCCCCCACAUUGGAACUGAGACACGGUCCAAACUCCUACGGGAGGCAGCAGUGGGGAAUAUUGCACAAUGGGGGAAACCCUGAUGCAGCGACGCCGCGUGGAGGAAGAAGGUCUUCGGAUUGUAAACUCCUGUUGUUGAGGAAGAUAAUGACGGUACUCAACAAGGAAGUGACGGCUAACUACGUG
rnacentral:rRNA from 1 species